rnacentral:rRNA from 1 species
AUUGAACGCUGGCGGCAGGCCUAACACAUGCAAGUCGAGCGGAGCGGCGGACGGGGGAGUAAUGCCUAGGAAUCUGCCUGGGGGUGAGGGAUAACGACCGGGAACGGGAGCUAAUGCCGCAGACUAUCAGGGUAGCCUAGGGCGGAUUAGCUAGUUGGUGGGGUAAAGGCCUACCAAGGCGACGAUCCGUCACGGGUCUGAGAGGAUGAUCAGUCACACUGGAACUGAGACACGGUCCAGACUCCUACGGGAGGCAGCAGUGGGGAAUAUUGGACAAUGGGCGAAAGCCUGAUCCAGCCAUGCCGCGUGUGUGAAGAAGGUCUUCGGAUUGUAAAGCACUUUUAGUUGGGAGGCGUUACCAACAGAAUAAGCACCGGCUAACUUCGUGCCAGCAGCCGCGGUAAUUC